CUUGUUCAGCAACUGGGAUGGACAGCAGAUCAGUCCCCACCCCCGAUUCAUAGAAACACAAGUGCACACCAAGUGUUUGAUAGCUGUCCUCUGUUAUUGGUUCAGAAUUUUGGGGGCCUUGAGAUAGAGGGGGUUGUUUCUGAUUCUUCUUCUAUAAGGUUUACUGAACAUAAGAGGUGGCUUAAAU